rnacentral:rRNA from 1 species
GACGAAGGGGGCUAGCGUUGUUCGGAAUUACUGGGCGUAAAGCGCGUGUAGGCGGUUGCCCUAGUCAGGUGUGAAAGCCUUGAGCUUAACUCAAGAAAUGCACUUGAUACUGGGCGACUAGAGGACCGGAGAGGAUAGUGGAAUUCCCAGUGUAGUGGUGAAAUACGUAGAGAUUGGGAAGAACACCAGUGGCGAAGGCGGCUAUCUGGACGGUUACUGACGCUAAGACGCGAAAGCGUGGGGAGCAAACAGG